CUCGUAGGUGGCCAACUAAGUCAGACGUGAAAUCCCUCGGCUUAACCGGGGAACUGCGUCUGAUACUGGAUGGCUUGAGUAUGGGAGAGGGAUGCGGAAUUCCAGGUGUAGCGGUGAAAUGCGUAGAUAUCUGGAGGAACACCGGUGGCGAAGGCGGCAUCCUGGACCAUUACUGACACUGAGGAGCGAAAGCCAGGGAGCAAACG
rnacentral:rRNA from 1 species